ensembl:lncRNA
AAAGAAAGGACUUCAGUCUUUGGAGAGCCCUAGCAGUUAAAUGUGAACUCCCUUUUUGCAUCAGAAAGGUUGUUGAUGUGGUUAUUGCAGCAGCACUCUGCUGAAUGGCUGUAAUUUACAUACACUUAUCUCCGCUCCCUUCUGCUUCCCCUGGCCUCCUGUAAUUUGCUUGUUACAAGUACCAAGGAAGUAUCUCCAGGGAGCUGCAGGGAAAAUCAAGCUGAAGAUGUGUGAGAUUUUUCAACUAAUUGGCAGGAAGGCCUUCAUCUCACUGUGGAAGUGGUGUGAUGUGGUACUCUGCGAUGGAGAAGUGAUCUUUGAUGACGCCAAAGAAUUUUUAACAAAGCAACACCAUAGAGAUCUUUGUUAUUUGUACUGCUGCUGGCAGGAAUAUCUGAGUGCUUCACGUCUGAAAUAAGCUUGAGAUUUGCUGCUUCCAGCACAGAUUGAAAGCAAGAGUAGACAUGGGGUUCAGAGCUCAGCAGGAUGUGACAUUUUAUUGUACUGCUUUUGAGCUGCUUUAUUCCCUGGAAACUCUUAUGCUGUCUUGGCCUUAAAGUCAAGUUUGCCACAUGAACAAAUGCAUAUCAAAUGAUGACAGAUCUACAAGUAAAGGAUUCACACAAGGCACAGAGUGGGCAAGAUGACCUCUGGGAGCAACCAGUACAACAUCACCAGGACCAAGAAUAGUUAUCUCUAAGGACUUGGCUUCAUCUGUUCUGAGAUGCUGACAGAUCUGUAGAAGCCUGGUUUUGUCGCUGUAUUUGGAACAACUCCAAGCCGACAAAAGGGGGUAAGUAUUUUUGUUUAAUUAAACUGAAUGUGGUUCUUCAUGGAGAAAAUACCCUGG